rnacentral:rRNA from 1 species
UACGUAGGGUGCGAGCGUUGUCCGGAAUUACUGGGCGUAAAGAGUUCGUAGGCGGUUUGUCGCGUCGUUCGUGAAAACUUGGGGCUUAACUCCAAGCGUGCGGGCGAUACGGGCAGACUUGAGUACUACAGGGGAGACUGGAAUUCCUGGUGUAGCGGUGAAAUUCGCAGAUAUCAGGAGGAACACCGGUGGCGAAGGCGGGUCUCUGGGUAGUAACUGACGCUGAGACGCGAAAGCGUGGGGAGCAAACAGG